GACGAACGCUGGCGGCGUGCUUAACACAUGCAAGUCGAACGGAAAGGCCCUGCUUUUGUGGGGUGCUCGAGUGGCGAACGGGUGAGUAACACGUGAGUAACCUGCCCUUGACUUUGGGAUAACUUCAGGAAACUGGGGCUAAUACCGGAUAGGAGCUCCUGCUGCAUGGUGGGGGUUGGAAAGUGUCGGCGGGUGGGGAUGGACUCGCGGCUUAUCAGCUUGUUGGUGGGGUAGUGGCUUACCAAGGCUUUGACGGGUAGCCGGCCUGAGAGGGUGACCGGCCACAUUGGGACUGAGAUACGGCCCAGACUCCUACGGGAGGCAGCAGUGGGGAAUAUUGCACAAUGGGCGGAAGCCUGAUGCAGCAACGCCGCGUGCGGGAUGACGGCCUUCGGGUUGUAAACCGCUUUCGCCUGUGACGAAGCGUGAGUGACGGUAAUGGGUAAAGAAGCACCGGCUAACUACGUG
rnacentral:rRNA from 1 species